AGCUAGGGAAGCUUAAGCGUUAAUCCAAGGAAUUCCUCCAGCCAGUGGGAAGCAGAGACAGGAGAUGGGGAGGAAGGGUGCGGUCUAGGCACUGACCACCUCAAGCAUUUGGCCAGCAUGAGGGAGUCUGUAAGGAGAAAUGGUGUCUAGGCACUUUGAGGGCUGCUGACCAAUGGGUGCUGCAGGUCUACAGAAUGGGUAAAAUAGCAACAAGUUUCCAGGCGAGCUGCCCCAUUCCUGGGGAUGGUGUGGUGAGACUUGCACAGCAAAGGUCUCUGAUUUUGAUUGCCUCUCUGAAGUGAAUGGACAAUGACCACUGUGUAAGAACAAGACAGGGGUGGGGUGGCUUGUAUUGCAUAAGAUAGGAGAGAGGCAUGGAGCUGUCCAGUGCUGGAGGCCUUGGGGAUAGAAGAAAGGCCAAGUGUGAGCCUAGCAAAAGGAUGUGAUAGAGGCAGACCUCACUGACUGCCUUUGUCUGAGUGCAGGUUCCUGAACCCCUAUGCUGGAGAUCCCCGCGCUGGAUGAGUCCUAGAGAAAAAGACUCCCCACUGGGCACUCUCAAUACUUGUAUACACUUUGUGGUUUAUUUGGUGGUCAGUAAUUAAUGGCUUUGCUACUAAGUGGAAGAAAGCUAAUAGAACGUAAUCAAAAUAGUGGUUUAAUUGACGAAUUUUACUUGUUCCUUGCACCUGUGCCUUCUUCAGCUCCUACCUGCCUACUUAGCUUAUGUGGGUGCAGACUGCACACCACGAUACCCCCAGGGCCCUCUCCACCACUAGGUACUUGCUUUCUCCACCUCAGCUCCAGAAAUGUGAUGGUCUUUAGCUCUGGAAGUCUCAGCCAGCCUGUCUUCCAUCCUGUCUUCAUUCUCGGGUGUCACCAGCAUCCGUUGCUGGGGUUUGGUCGCCAGCUUGUGGUCAGGCCGGUGUUCGGGUCUGGAGCCUGGUCGAGUAUCCAACUUGCAAUCAGCUCGAUACUUGCCUUCCCCCUCCCUCUUGAAGGAGGCAGAAGACAUGGCUUUGGGCUUGGGGGGCUGUAGCCAUGAGUGGCUAAGGAUCUCAUCAAUGUGCAGCCGCCGGUUGACAUCUGGCUGUAGGAUGCGGUAGAUGAGGUCCUUGCACUCACCAGUUAGGUUCUUGGAGCGUGGGAAGUCCACUCGGUGCUCCUUCUGGAUGCGCAGCAUCUUUUUGAUGUCAGAGUCAUCGUAGGGCAUGGACCACAGACCAUGAUGUAGAGAAUCACACCCAGGCUCCAGAUGUCAUACACCUUGGGCUGGUAGGGGAUGCCCUGCAGCACCUCGGGGGCCGCAUAAGCUGCUGACCCACAGAAGGUCUUGCUUAAUAUCAGUCGACCACUAUCAUCCCGCAAGCAGCGCUUGGAGAAGCCGAAGUCAGACAGUUUGAUGUUGAAGUCCUUGUCAAGCAGAAGGUUCUCACAUUUGAGGUCUCGGUGGACGACAUCCAGGUCGUGGCAGUACUUGAUGGCCGAGGAGAGCUGGUGGAACUUCUUUCGAGCAUCAUCCUCUUGCAGGGCUCCUCUGGUUUUGAUGAACUCGAGGAGGUCACCCUGGACCCCAAGCUCCAUGACAAUGUAGACCUUGCCAUCUGAUGUCUCAAAGAUCUCAUAGGUCUUGACAAUAGAGCGGUGGUUUAGCAUGGCCAGAAUCUCAAUCUCCCGGGGAAGGAAUUUCUCCAGGAAGUCUGAGGGGGCUUUCUUGCGAUCGAUGAUCUUGACCGCCACGUUGAACUUUAGGCGCUCAGAGUAAGCGGAUUUGACUUUGGCAUAUGAGCCCUCUCCCAAGUUUAUCCCCAUGAUGUAGCCUCGUCGCUUGAGGACGGCAGCGUCAUCCAUGGUGCCGGGAGUGCCCAGUGCCUCCGAGGCUGCCCUCUACAUCCCUGCCAGACAUGGGCCAGCAGUGUCCUCAUUUACACUGUGGACAGAGAGUCCUCUGAGCUGUCCAGGCCUGCUGUCCCUGCCUCCUAAGAGGCCCAAGACUCUAGCAUGGAACUUUCAGCACUGUCUCCCAGGUGACUUCAGUGGGUGAAGUCACAAAGGAGUAAUGCCCUGGGGGAAAUGUAGCUAUUGCCUGGGCCGAUUGAACUUGGAACCUAGAAGAUCUGCCAGUGUACUGGAGCAGACUGAAGACUGUACACGAAACAGGGAACAGAAUGGCUUCAUGCUUGGCUCCAGCCUGAGGUGAGAGAGGCUUA
rnacentral:lncRNA from 1 species